GGCGGUGUACAUAAGACAUGCAAGUCGAACGGGAGAAGACAGGAAGAUUUAUCUACUUGUUGGACACCGUGGCGGACGGGUGAGUAACACGUAAGCAACCUGCCUAUAAGAGGGGAAUAACAGUGAGAAAUUACUGAUAAUACCGCAUAAGCUGAAGGUAUCGCAUGAUACAUUCAGAAAAGAUUUAUCGCUUAUAGAUGGGCUUGCGUCUGAUUAGCUAGUUGGUGAGAUAACAGCUCACCAAGGCGACGAUCAGUAGCCGGAUUGAGAGGUUGAACGGCCACAUUGGGACUGAGACACGGCCCAGACUCCUACGGGAGGCAGCAGUCGGGAAUAUUGCACAAUGGAGGAAACUCUGAUGCAGUGACACCGCGUAUAGGAAGAAGGUCUUAGGAUUGUAAGCUAUUGUCGUGUGAGAAGAAAAUGACCAUCACAGGAGGAGCCCG
rnacentral:rRNA from 1 species